AGUGAACGCUGGCGGUAGGCCUAACACAUGCAAGUCGAACGGCAGCACAGUAAGAGCUUGCUCUUACGGGUGGCGAGUGGCGGACGGGUGAGGAAUACAUCGGAAUCUACUUUUUCGUGGGGGAUAACGUAGGGAAACUUACGCUAAUACCGCAUACGACCUACGGGUGAAAGCAGGGGAUCUUCGGACCUUGCGCGAUUGAAUGAGCCGAUGUCGGAUUAGCUAGUUGGCGGGGUAAGGGCCCACCAAGGCGACGAUCCGUAGCUGGUCUGAGAGGAUGACCGCCCACACUGGAACUGAGACACGGCCCAGACUCCUACGGGAGGCAGCAGUGGGGAAUAUUGCACAAUGGGCGCAAGCCUGACCCAGCAAUGCCGCGUGGGUGAAGAAGGCCUUGGGUUCGUAAAGCUCUUUUGUGGGGAAAGAAAAUAGGCGUAUUAAUCCCCGCCUUUUUUGACGGUACCUAAGAAGAAAGCCCCGGCUAACUUCGUG
rnacentral:rRNA from 1 species